rnacentral:lncRNA from 1 species
CAGUGGUCUGUCAUGGAAUAGUGUUCCUCCCACAAUGGCAAUUUUAGGAUCCUGACCUAAGUCUGUGGAGAAAUGGAACCCAACGUUUUGGUAAAGGAGAGCCUUGCAUAAGGAAGAAGCAAUUCAGGGGAGAGUGCUGUGGUUAUAUUCCUAUGAAAUUGGACACUUUACGAAGUUUGUUACAUUUCUUCAGUAAAUGUAGCAAGAUCAUUGUUUCCAAGGCUGGUGGUAAUGGCUCCCAGUUCUGAAGGAUAAGGAAGCUUCCACUCAGCCAACUUUUACCCCACAGGAAGCACCAGUGUCCAUC